rnacentral:rRNA from 1 species
GACAAGAAGACCCUAAGAAUUUUAAAAAUAGUAAUUUUUAGUUUCAAAGAAUGCUAUUUUUUAGUUGGGGCAACUAAGAAAUAUUAUAAACUUUUUUAAAAUAAAAUGAUCCAUUAUUAAUGAUUAUUUGAAAAAAUACUCUAGGGAUAACAGCGUAAUAAUUUUUGAUAGAACAUAUAGACAAAAUAGUUUGCGACCUCGAUGUUGGAUUAGGAUACUUUUUUAAUGAAGAUGUUAAAAAAAGAAGUUUGUUCAACUUUUAAAGUCCUACUUGAUCUGAGUUCAGAC